UUAUCUACCUGGAUGCCCUUCGGAGCGGAAGUGCUCAAAUGAAGAGUUCUCCUCCUCGUGGAUCGCGAAUGCUCAGAAUAUCUCUCUUUCUGUAUGUGGGUGUUAUCAAUUUUGACUUGGUUUGCGAAAUUUGCUGUGCUGCUGGUCGGCUAUGGCUGCUGCCUCUGCUGUUUUGUGCAAUGCUGGCAGAGGCGUGCCUUUCGCAGCAUUGAAAUGUAAGAUUUUUGUUCGUGAUGUAGCUGCUGCUGGGAAGGGACUGCCGUUUGCCUUUUGGUCAGGAAGUGGUUUUCCAGGAAAGUUGUUGUCGAGGAGAAAUGAUCUUGCGAGGUGCGCAUUAGAGACUGAGAAGACGAUAAGGGGUGUGGAAGGUGGAGAUGAUUGGAUAGCGGAGAAUGAUGAAUUGGUACGAAGCUUACCGCUCUUCGGGGGUGCUGGCGGGUUGUUUGCGGUGCUUCUCAACCGGAGUUUAUCAGGAAUCGCUCCUGUUGCCGAUUCAAGCAGUGCACAGUCAAGGUCCGAUGUGUUGGCCCUCGCGUUGGCAGCCACAGUGUUGCUGCAAGGCUUGGUGUGGAAGUCCAUUCAGCCCAGGCCUGUUGUCUCGGUAGAGAUGAAUGGUGUGAAUUGUUUCAACAUGAUAAAAAGUCUUCCGGCUGAGGUUGAUUGGGAACUAGAAUGGGUCUGGGAGUCACUAAGGAAUACCACUCGUACUAAGGCGCUAGUGAUAUUUUACGGCGAAGCCUGCGUUUUACAGGCAGGCAUAGCCGCUGCGUCAGUGGAUGGCAAUGCAGUGCCUGUCAAUGUCUCUGAGUUUAUAAGUGGUGAACUUUACAAGGGUGUUCAGAAAUCUGGACGUCAAAACUAUCUUGCGAAUUUGGUACUCUAUCCGGGGAGGUUUGAGCUCUUGAAGUUUCUACCAUCAAACACACAGGCAGUUCUUUUGCAGCCACUGGGUGAUGAUGGGGUAAUGGUACUGGCUAGUGAUACCAUCCGUGGAUUUACACCGGCAGACCAGGCUUGGAUAGGAACUAUUGCGGAGAAGGUCGACACAUCAUUACAGAACUGGGUUGCUAUUUCUUCGAAAGUGGAGGGUCAAAUUCCAUUGUAAUUUUAUGGGGUUGGUGGUCCAGACAUCUAUGAAGCGAUGGGAGCUAAAUCCAAGUCUAAGCUUCUGAAGGUGUGAAAAGUAGUGUUGAGAAUCCGAUGAUGACAUCGAUUAAUGCUUCGCAACUCCGUAGCGAUUUGGCAAUCUUCUCAACUUCUCAUCAUCAGCUACUUUCCUAUGAGCAAAGGAGUUGGUGUGAUUUCUUCAAGGGCUUCCGAACAUGGACUCUAUCUCCAAAGACAUUGCAUUAGAUUCAGAUCGUUAUUUCGUGUGCCAAUUUCUCCUAAACAUUUGGUCUCGAAGCUCUAUUUUCAGUAUUGGUAUGUCUUUAGGAUGGCAUGCAGCAGCGUCCUCCUAUACUUGCUAUCUCAGAGCAGUUAAUUAUACAAGGUAUAUAAACAUCGACUUACAGCUUCGCUUCAUCACAAUCCAUCCUAAUCCUUUCAAAAGCUCUCGUAUAAAUGAUAAAACUCUUAGCCCAAUAUUAUACUCUGGAUCUAUGCGAAUCUAGACCUGUACUGGUAGAAUUGUAGUAAUUGCAAAUCUUGAGAAUAAAAAAUGAAGCUCUACUCCCUUCCGUUCAUAAUU